GAUGCUGCAGUACUGCUACAAAGAGGAACAAAGGUGAUAGGAAAUUAGAGAAGGAUACAUUGACGACCUAUGUGGAAACAUCUGUGAAAUCUGAUGAGCAGAUUGAGAAACCAAAGAAAAAAAGAAGACAACAUACUUGAAGUUUAAUGGAAAGACAGACAUGCAUGAUUCAAAUACUUAGAUACGUUUUGAUGAGAUAAAAGCAUCCCAAUGGACGUCCUUGCUGCCAUAUAAUUUUCUGAAUGAAGACAAGUGAUCAUCAUACCGGGUUUUGGUGCUGGCAACUAUACCGGGUUUGAUCAUCGUAUAUCUAUCCUUGGGUCCAAUGUAGAUUCUUUCAUCUUUCCAUAAGCAAAGUAGACCUUUGUCAAUCAAUGUCAGCUGCAGCAUUGCUAAGCUACUAAGAUUACGUUUUUGGCAUUUAUGGUGCAUCAUAUAUUAGAUCAAAGGUCUUUUGAUUUUUCAAUUGAUUGUGUAAUUUGUAAUUGCAGUUUUAAGAGAAUUGUGCAAAAUGUAAUACCAUUACUGCUUGUCACAUACGAAAUCCGAAAUGAAUAUCCACUUUCCUCUGUAACCAACAGCAUAAGCCCUGAAUAGUUACUGGCUUAUAUCCUUGUUAGCAUAAUCUUUGCAUUUCUUUGUACUAGGUAGGGCACAUGAGGGCUUGAUUUUUUUCGAGAUGUAAUGUACUAAUGUUUAUAACCAUUUGUUCGAUUUCUAUUUGGAAAUGAUUUUGUA